rnacentral:rRNA from 1 species
AAUCAACGCUGGCGGCGUGCUUAACACAUGCAAGUCGAGCGGUAAGGCCCUUUCGGGGGUACACGAGCGGCGAACGGGUGAGUAACACGUGGGUGACCUGCCCUCAGCUCUGGGAUAAGCCUGGGAAACCGGGUCUAAUACUGGAUAUGACUCCAUGACGCAUGUUGUGGGGUGGAAAGCCUUGUGCGGCUGAGGAUGGGCCCGCGGCCUAUCAGCUUGUUGGUGGGGUGAUGGCCUACCAAGGCGACGACGGGUAGCCGGCCUGAGAGGGCGACCGGCCACACUGGGACUGAGACACGGCCCAGACUCCUACGGGAGGCAGCAGUGGGGAAUCUUGCGCAAUGGGCGAAAGCCUGACGCAGCGACGCCGCGUGAGGGAUGACGGCCUCGG